rnacentral:rRNA from 1 species
GGGUGGCGUCCGGAUAUUGGGCGUAAAGGGCUCGCAGGCGGUUUCUUAAGUCUGAUGUGAAAGCCCCCGGCUCAACCGGGGAGGGUCAUUGGAAACUGGGGAACUUGAGUGCAGAGGAGGAGAAAGGAAUUCCACGUGUAGCGGUGAAAUGCGUAGAGAUGUGGAGGAACACCAGUGGCGAAGGCGACUCUCUGGUCUGUAACUGACGCUGAGGAGCGAAAGCGUGGGGAGCGAACAGGAUUAGAUACCCUGGUAGUCCACGCCGUAAACGAUGAGUGCUAAGUGUUAGGGGGUUUCCGCCCCUUAGUGCUGCAGCUAACGCAUUAAGCACUCCGCCUGGGGAGUACGGUCGCAAGACUGAAACUCAAAGGAAUUGACGGGGGCCCGCACAAGCGGUGGAGCAUGUGGUUUAAUUCGAAGCAACGCGAAGAACCUUACCAGGUCUUGACAUCCUCUGACAAUCCUAGAGAUAGGACGUCCCCUUCGGGGGCAGAGUGACAGGUGGUGCAUGGUUGUCGUCAGCUCGUGUCGUGAGAUGUUGGGUUAAGUCCCGCAACGAGCGCAACCCUUGAUCUUAGUUGCCAGCAUUCAGUUGGGCACUCUAAGGUGACUGCCGGUGACAAACCGGAGGAAGGUGGGGAUGACGUCAAAUCAUCAUGCCCCUUAUGACCUGGGCUACACACGUGCUACAAUGGACAGAACAAAGGGCAGCGAAACCGCGAGGUUAAGCCAAUCCCACAAAUCUGUUCUCAGUUCGGAUCGCAGUCUGCAACUCGACUGCGUGAAGCUGGAAUCGCUAGUAAUCGCGGAUCACAUGCGGGGGGGAAAAACCUUUCCCGGGCCUUGUACACACCGCCCGUCACACCACGAGAGUUUGUAACACCCGAAGUCGGUGAGGUAACCUUUAUGGAGCCAGCCGCCGAAGGUGGGACAGAUGAUUGGGGUGAAUCUAGAAGGGAAACCCCCCCACACAGAAAAGGGGGA